rnacentral:rRNA from 1 species
GUUGAACGCUGGCGGCAUGCCUAACACAUGCCAGUCGAGCGAUCACAUGAGGAGCCUUCCUCUUUUGCUUACGCGGCGCGGGGGUGUGUAAAAUGUCGGUGACCCUGCUUGAUGCAUGGGAUUAACUAGUGAAACCGGUACUUAAUACGGCUUACCUUCACAACCCCAUGGUUCUAAAGUGACGGGCGUCUUGCCAUCGACUGAGCCAAGAACCCGCUACGUAUUAGCUAGUUGGUAAGGUAACGGCUUACCAAGGCGACGAUACGUAGCUGACCUGAGAGGAUGACCGGCCAAACUGGAACUGAGACACGGUCCAGACUCCUACGGGAGGCAGCAGUGGGGAAUAUUGCGCAAUGGGCGAAAGCCUGAUGGAGCAACGCCGCGUGUAUGAAGAAGGUCUUCGGGUUGUAAAACUCUGUUAUUAGGGAAGAAGAAAUGUGUGAGUAACUGUGCACGUCUUGACGGUACCUAAUCAGAAAGCCACGGCUAACUACGUG